AUUGAACGCUGGCGGCAGGCCUAACACAUGCAAGUCGAGCGGUAACAGGGGUAGCUUGCUACCCGCUGACGAGCGGCGGACGGGUGAGUAAUGCAUAGGAAUCUGCCCGAUAGUGGGGGAUAACCUGGGGAAACCCAGGCUAAUACCGCAUACGUCCUACGGGAGAAAGGGGGCUCCGGCUCCCGCUAUCGGAUGAGCCUAUGUCGGAUUAGCUGGUUGGUGAGGUAACGGCUCACCAAGGCGACGAUCCGUAGCUGGUCUGAGAGGAUGAUCAGCCACAUCGGGACUGAGACACGGCCCGAACUCCUACGGGAGGCAGCAGUGGGGAAUAUUGGACAAUGGGGGGAACCCUGAUCCAGCCAUGCCGCGUGUGUGAAGAAGGCCCUCGGGUUGUAAAGCACUUUCAGUGAGGAAGAACGCCUGGUGGUUAAUACCCAUCAGGAAAGACAUCACUCACAGAAGAAGCACCGGCUAACUCCGUGCCAGCAGCCGCGGUAAUACGGAGGGUGCGAGCGUUAAUCGGAAUUACUGGGCGUAAAGCGCGCGUAGGUGGCUUGAUAAGCCGGUUGUGGAAGCCCCGGGCUCAACCUGGGAACGGCAUCCGGAACUGUCAAGCUAGAGUGCAGGAGAGGAAGGUAGAAUUCCCGGUGUAGCGGUGAAAUGCGUAGAGAUCGGGAGGAAUACCAGUGGCGAAGGCGGCCUUCUGGACUGACACUGACACUGAGGUGCGAAAGCGUGGGUAGCAAACAGG
rnacentral:rRNA from 1 species